GAACUUGUAGCUCAGUGGCAAAGUAUCUGCUUUGCAUGCAGAAGGUCCCAGGAUCAAAUCCUGGUAUCUCCA